CUGCCUCCCCCUCGUGGUAAAUCUGGAAAACCUCUGGAAAACCUCUUUUCGUGGAAAUGCUGCUUUGAGGAGUCCUGGCCAUGUCCUGUCUAGGUCUUGGCAUUUCCUAGCACAGAAGGUGUUACAUUAGAAGAUGGAGAGUCACAAAACGGACGCGGGAUCUAAGGGCUGGAAGAAAACAACGUUACCCUGAGGACAGUUGCUGUGACAGACACAGGUGUUGAUCAGCAUCAUCGGCUUCUUCAGGACGGCGCCCUGGGGGCAGCGGAAGGGCACCUGCACGGUUUUGGUG